rnacentral:rRNA from 1 species
CCUACGGGUGGCAGCAGUGAGGAAUAUUGGGCAAUGGACGGAAGUCUGAACCAGCCAUGCCGCGUGCAGGAAGACGGCUCUAUGAGUGGUAAACUGCUUUUGUACAAGGGUAAACCUGAAUACGUGUAUUCAGCUGAACGUGCUGUACGACGAAGGAUCGGCUAACUCCGUGCCAGCAGCGGAGGUAAUACGGAGGAUCCAAGCGUUAUCCGGAUUUAUUGGGUGUAAAGGGUGCGUAGGCGGAUUGAUAAGUUAGAGGUGAAAUGGCGGGGCUUAACUCGGGAACUGACUCUAAGACUGUUGAUCUAGAGAGUAGAUGCGGUAGGCGGAAUGUAUGGUGUAGCGGUGAAAUGCUUAGAGAUCAGACAGAACACCGAUUGCGAAGGCAGCUUACCAAUCUAUAUCUGACGUUGAGGCACGAAAGCGUGGGGAGCAAACAGGAUUAGAUACCCCAGUAGUC